GACGAACCGGACAAACGUUAUUCGGAAUUACUGGGCUUAAAGGGUGCGUAGGCGGUGCUGAAAGUUGGGUGUGAAAUGCCUCGGCUUAACCGAGGAAUUGCGCUCAAAACUACAGUGCUAGAGUGAGACAGGGGUAAGCGGAACUGAUGGUGGAGCGGUGAAAUGCAUUGAUAUCAUCAGGAACACCAGUGGCGAAGGCGGCUUACUGGGUCUCUUCUGACGCUGAGGCACGAAAGUUAGGGUAGCGAACAGG
rnacentral:misc_RNA from 1 species